GGCAGAAAAGUAGACACCUAGUUGAAAAAUGAUUUUAUAAAAUUUGUUUAGAGCCUAGAUUUUAAAAUUUAUUGUUCAAUAAAUUUGUACAAAAUAAAGAGAAAAAUAACUGGCUCAAUUAGAAUUUAAAAGCUGAAGAACUGGUCUCAUAGAUGUAAUACCUUGCUCUAUCCUGAACCACUGAUCUAUGGGCUUAGGACAAAUUAUCCCUAAGUAAUUUAUUUUUAUAUUAAAGGGAAAGUGUCUUUUUUGGUCCAUGUAUGUGUACAUUUAUCCUGAGGAUAUUGGUAAACAUAGCCAGUUUUAAAGUCUAUUGAUAUUGUGGUAAUGACUAUUAUUCUUACUUAGAUAUUUGAAUUGAAAUGUAACCUUUUAAUUAGCUUGUGCUGAUGUUUCAUCCUGCCUGGCAACACAAGUUUUCAUGUGAUGCGAUGCUCCUGAUCUAGGGACCACACUUGGAGGAUCACUGAUCCGUAUGACUCUCUUGUGAUGCUUUAUACUCCUAGGAUAUCUUGAUCCCUUCUCAGCACUCUCUGUCUACUGCACGUAAGAACUGUAGCUUAAAGAGAGAGCUGAAAAUGGCUGUGGUGGACAUCCGGGCCUGGGGUGUGUGCCCUUCCAGAAUGGGGCCAGCAGAGGCUCUAAAAGGCAGACUUGAUCAGAAUGACAGUCCUGCCAAUGGUUCAAACCUCAAAUUAAGAAACAGUUUUCACACAUGCAAAGGGUAGAACAAGCUAUUGUUUAUCCAUCAGUCUCCACAGCAGCACUUGCCCUAGAGACUGCAGUCCACAGCAAUUGCAUCACCUUUGAGUAUG
rnacentral:lncRNA from 10 species